AGGGGAUGACAAAAUGAGGACAGUGCACUGAGUUACGGGAUUAAGGAAGUCUCGCGUUGGGUUUAACCUGUCGACUAGUGGUCUUUAUAGACCUAUUCGCAGUGGCGACAGGGCUUUCGGUGUGUACUCAAGCAUUGACUUUUGCCCCUGGCAGGGCCAAGCACUGCGCUGACAACGUGGAACGUUGAGUAUAUAGAACGAGCGACAACUUACGCUUGGCAACAGCGCUGCUUGCAUUUAGAGCUCGCUUAUCGCAGCAGGCAUAUAACCGCUCGCAGUGUGCAUCUCGACGCGGCCUGUUAACGCGCGGAAACCCGUAGGAAAGAAGCAAAAUGAGGUGCAGUUAUCAGUCAUGCGUAUACUCGGGUCAACGCAUGUGGGUUGAUUCGCCAGGAACGCUCGAAAAAAAAAAAAGUUUUUACGAUGCGAUACGUAUACGCGGAUAGUUGAAUGCGUCGUCAUCUUUUUAUGCACGGAGACAGAACGAAGCGCCAUUUGAAUGCGACGAAAUGAGUGGGUGUAUAGGGACGUUUCGUGCGUAGCUUUCGGAAUUGCUCAGAUAGCUCGGACGGCCUUCGGUGAUGGUGAGGUGGCUUCUCGUUCUGUUUAACCGUUAUUUCGCUAUAACGGCGCACUUUCUCAGCUUACUGCCGAGUCCUGGGUCCCCUGUGCUGCUUUCUUUGCAGAUUUCUCUUCUUCUUUUCUGCUCCAAGUCCUGACGGCAUCGUUAAUUGCAUGCUUAAUUCGGUGAAAAUGAGAUUCAGCGAGGAGGUCUCGAAAAAAAAAAAAAGCGACCUUAUACGGGGUCAGGAAACGAAAGAAAGAGAGAGAGAAAUGAAUGCAUAAAAGGAAAACGGCGGGGAGUCAGCGCGCUUUGGCAGUUGUGACAAAUGUCGCGCGUUCGGAAAGGCGCGCGCUCAUGGUUCACUCGCUCCACAGCCGCGCCGCGCCGCCAGUGAAAUUUUAUUUUUCUUUGCCGUUUCAACAUUUCCUGCUGCCAUUCCGGCGUACGUGUUCCCGAUCACAACGCCCGCCGCGGCCAUAGCUCGCGUGCCUUUCUAUUUCCUGCCCCCCCCCCCCCCCCCCCCCUCCUCUCGCACUGCAGUUGUAUGGCAACAACAGCAGCAGCAGCACCGGCAGUAGUAUAGUAGUAGUACCGGUUCUCCGCUUGGCGACGCUUUAUUUUGUCUUGCCGUGCAGCCGUUGCGAGGUUUAUGCACGCUUGUCGUGCGAGGAAUGUUCGUGGCGGGAUGAGGCUCGUGGCCGAUGGAGCGUGGAUUGACGCCCGCGUCUUCCAGCUUCACGCAGCACGCGGACCUCGCCGCCUUUUGUUCUGCGCGCCCGUGGCUCUGUAGAACGCGAGCAGUGGAGCGCACUGCGCGUGCUCGUUGACGUCAUUGCGCACGUGUCGGCGCGCCGAAGCGCGUACGAGUAUGUGCGAGUAUAUACGGGUCAUGAGAGAUGCGUAGCAGCUGUCGUGAAUAUCAACGACAAGACUGGAGGAGUAUCGAGACAUUCUGGGCGCGCGUAUUAUGUACUGACCGCGACAAAGCUAACGAGAACACCAGCUCCCGUUAGGCGUUGGACCGUGUUCGUCAGUUCGCGUGGCGUACAUACUCGCAGUCGCAACUCUCUCGACGAAGGCCUGUUAAACUUGGGCUGUGCGCAGUCUGUAUUCGCAACAGUCUGUAUUCGCAACUGUCGUGACGAAUGCCGAGUCAGAGACUUCCCUAUUGGUUUCGAUGCAUUGCGACGUCAAUCAAUACGAGAAUUGUGACUGAAAUGUUAAGUCGGUCUUGUGUUAAGCAACGCUGCAUCGGCAGUCGCUGGAACAGCCCGAGUCGCGCCAAAUGCCACGUGCGCUUGCGAGCGCGCAAUCAGUGAUGCCCUAGUCAGUUAUUUUGCUUUGUUCCCAUUUCAGGAUGUUUAUUGCACGCAGUGUUCAUUUUGGGUUUCGGACGUUAAAGAAACCCGCCGUGUCAAAAUUAAUCCGGAGCCUUCCACUACGGCGUGCCUCAUAAUCAGAAUUGGUUUUGGCACGUAAAACCCCAGAAAUAUAUUUGGUUUCGGAGAUGAAUUUAGUUCGUUAUAUCCAUUGGUAUAACAAUUUCACUCCGUUAAAACGAGGUUUUAAAUGCAUGAGUCUCUAUGGCGAUUUCAAGGGGAAUGUCAUUUACUUCGUUAUAUCCAUUAUUUCGUUAUAUCCCGUUUCGAGGUUCGAGUGUAUACAGUGCAGUGCGUCGCUGUGCGAGCAACUUAAUCUACGUGCAGAUCUGUAGGCGUCUUAUCUCACCAUUGUUGUUUCUGUGUCGUUUCUGUGUGUGUAUAUACACACACACAGACGUAAACAGGCACUAUUUACGUUGUUUAAGGCGCGUGGAUAAAUAGAAUUAGCUAUUGUAGUUAAGGCUAUUGGUUAACGAGAAAGUGGCAAUAAUUCCAGCACUGUACAGAGAAGUAGGAUGAAGUGGCUCUUGCGACUGCCGCCGUAAUUGAUCCUCGCGGCAUAUGCUCCGGAGAACGAUUACAGCGAUUGUAUUCCAGCAGGCGCAGCCAAGGAGAAACGGAAAAUAGGACUAUUGGCGGAACAUUUACACAAAUGGGGCAUUAUGAAUCAGAGGCUAAGUGACGCUCUAUAUAUAGUUGAGAUUAAAAAGGCAGAGUCGGGCAGGUAUGUAACCGUUGGCCUAUUGUGGGUAGAGUAUAAGAAAGGAUCGCGGGAUCGAAUCCCGGCCGCGGCGGCCGCAUUUCGAUGGAGGCGAAAUGCAAUAACGCCCGUGUGCUUGCGUUGUAGUGAUCGUUAAAGAAACCCAGGUGGUCAAAAUUAAUUCGGAGCCCUCCAAUACGGCGUGCCUCAUAUUCAGAACUGGUUUUGGCACGUAAAGCUCCAGAAGGAAGAGUAUAAGAAAGUGAUGGAUAACGGAACUGUAAAACUGUUUAGCUAUGCAUUCGCUGACACCUGAAGAUUAAGAAGGAAAAAGUGGGGGGGGGGGGGGGGGGGGGGGGGGUAGACAAAGACGAAAAAGACUGAUCACUACAAAUUUUCACCUUCCGGUCUCCGUGGGACUUGGAAGAGGGCAAAAAAGAAAUAAACAGAAACCAAAAUGAGGCCUUCCGGUUUGCUACCCCGCACUGGCGUGGGGGAAAUAGGAGUUGCAAAGACAGUGAAGAGAGAGAAUAUAAAAAAAGAAAGAAAAAAAAAGUAGGGCGGGUUCAGUUUUGGUGCAGUUGGCGCAGCUGUGCGAAAAAUCUUUGGCAGAAGCCUCUGUCGCGGCAGCUUAUACUCGUGUCUACGAUGACAAUAAUUCCGAGAGGUGAGCGUUCUCUCUCUCUCUCUCUCUCUCUCUGUUCUUUUCCGGUCUUGUAGAGCGUGAAGCCGUCCGGGAUGAAAGUCGUUGACGUUUGCGUGCGCUUUUUGAGCGAAGCUAUAGCUAUGCCUCCCGUUCUGCGCAGCGCGCGUUAUAAGGUUGCCUUGUUCUUUUUUUCCUGACGCUGAUGGAUUCCUCUGUUUUUGCCGCAGCCGUGUCGAAGUAAGCGCGUAGUUACAGUACAGGUUGCGCGCUUCGGCUGAGUCGGGUGACCUUCGAUCACCACGUGCAGUGUACGUAUGCCAAGGCUGUCCGGCAUUCCCCCCCCCCCCCCCCCCCCCGCCCUUUUCUUUAUUUAAAUCUUUUUAACCUAACUGUAUCGUACAUCGCUCUCCAUCCGUAACGCGUAAACACGUAAAAUCGCUUGACGAUCGAGAUUAGCGUAUACGGCUGCAAUCCUUUUUUAUAUUAGCAUAACGAUUUGGCGUUCGCCUGUACGUGCGUGGUACGUUAUGCGUUCCUGUUUGUCAUUUUCCUGAUAGUGUGCGCUCAUCUCUCGGGUGCCUUGUUCCUUCUCUUCACCGACUCGCUAGCAUUGUUUCUUUUUUCUAAGAGUUAUAUUUUGUUCGUCAGUAAGAGCAAAAUAUUCUUCAUAAACACACAUGUACAGCUAAGGAGGUCCCAUGGUCAGCUGGAAACCGAAGGGCGACCUCCUUUACAAUAAUGACAGCCAUAUAUGAAACGAUUCGUUGCUUGGACUACAGUUUUGGAGUUCAUUUCCUUUGGCAGUGAAUGUCGACUCUGAUUGAUUCAUCAUUGGCGUG